rnacentral:pre_miRNA from 1 species
UGGUCAAGUGAGCGGCUGUCAUCUCUAGAUGGUUGUACAAAGUCCCAUAUGGGAGGUUUUGUAUAACUCUUCUAGAAAUGAUUUGCUCCUUGAGAGACACCU